rnacentral:rRNA from 1 species
CAUGAAGCUGGAUUCGCUAGUAAUCGCGCAUCAGCCACGGCGCGGUGAAUACGUUCCCGGGCCCUUGUACACACCGCCCGUCAAGCCAUGGAAGCCGGGAGUGCCUGAAGUGCGUGACCGCAAGGAGCGUCCUAAGGCAAUACCGGUGACUGGGGCUAAGUCGUAACAAGGUACC